rnacentral:rRNA from 1 species
CGGCGGACGGGUGAGUAAUGCCUAGGAAUCUGCCUGGUAGUGGGGGACAACGUUUCGAAAGGAACGCUAAUACCGCAUACGUCCUACGGAGGAAGCAGGGACCUUCGGGCCUUGCGCUAUCAGAUGAGCCUAGGUCGGAUUAGCUAGUUGGUGAGGUAAUGGCUCACCAAGGCGACGAUCCGUAACUGGUCUGAGAGGAUGAUCAGUCACACUGGAACUGAGACACGGUCCAGACUCCUACGGGAGGCAGCAGAA